GACGUAGGGCGCAAGCGUUGUCCGGAAUUAUUGGGCGUAAAGAGCUCGUAGGCGGCUUGUCACGUCGGGUGUGAAAGCCCGGGGCUUAACCCCGGGUCUGCAUUCGAUACGGGCUGGCUAGAGUGUGGUAGGGGAGAUCGGAAUUCCUGGUGUAGCGGUGAAAUGCGCAGAUAUCAGGAGGAACACCGGUGGCGAAGGCGGAUCUCUGGGCCAUUACUGACGCUGAGGAGCGAAAGCGUGGGGAGCGAACAGG
rnacentral:rRNA from 1 species